UCUUGCUUGCAGAGAAGAGGUUAGUGGCGGACUGGUGAGUAACACGUAAGAAAUCUGCCUAUCAGAGGGGAAUAACAGUGAGAAAUCACUGCUAAUACCGCAUAUGCCAUAGGGUUCGCAUGAACCUAGUGGGAAAGGAGCAAUCCGCUGAUAGAUGAGCUUGCGUCUGAUUAGCUAGUUGGUGGGGUAAAGGCCUACCAAGGCAACGAUCAGUAGCCGGACUGAGAGGUUGAACGGCCACAUUGGGACUGAGAUACGGCCCAGACUCCUACGGGAGGCAGCAGUCGGGAAUAUUGCGCAAUGGAGGAAACUCUGACGCAGUGACGCCGCGUAUAGGAAGAAGGUUUUCGGAUUGUAAACUAUUGUCCACAGGGAAGAUAAAAGACUGUACCUGUGAAGAAAGCUCCGGCUAACUACGUGCCAGCAGCCGCGGUAAUACGUAGGGAGCAAGCGUUAUCCGGAAUUAUUGGGUGUAAAGGGUGCGUAGACGGGAUAACAAGUUGGUUGUGAAACCCCUCGGCUCAACUGAGGAACUGCAACCAAAACUAUUAUUCUUGAGUGCAGGAGAGGAAAGUGGAAUUCCUAGUGUAGCGGUGAAAUGCGUAGAUAUUAGGAAGAACACCGGUGGCGAAGGCGACUUUCUGGACUGUAACUGACGUUGAGGCACGAAAGUGUGGGGAGCAAACAGGAUUAGAUACCCUGGUAGUCCACACUGUAAACGAUGGAUACUAGGUGUAGGAGGUAUUAAGCCUUCUGUGCCGUCGCUAACGCAGUAAGUAUCCCACCUG
rnacentral:rRNA from 1 species